rnacentral:rRNA from 1 species
UACGUAGGGUGCAAGCGUUGUCCGGAAUCAUUGGGCGUAAAGCGCGCGUAGGCGGCCCGGUAAGUCCGCUGUGAAAGUCAAAGGCUCAACCUUUGAAUGUCAGCGGAUACUGCCGGGCUAGAGUCCGGAAGAGGUGAGUGGAACUGCGAGUGUAGAGGUGAAAUUCGUAGAUAUCAAGAAGGAACACCUGCGGCGAAGGCGGG